UGAAAGUAUCGGUGGAUGUUGUAGUAGAUCAUGAUGCGAUGCUACCGGUACCUGACUUGGUCUCAGAGACGACAUUGCUGCGAGAUGCAAUAGGAUCAUUUGUUGCAUGGCCCUCGGAGCUCAUUGUCAUUAGUGAUGAGAUUGCUCCUAUAAAACCCGCAUAUAAGGGUAAAGGGAUUUUACAGGAGGAGGAGUCUGUUGCAUCACUAAAAGAGGCAUCCGCUCGGGAGUCACAACAAGUGACGCAGCAUGUUCGUACCGUACCAC